AUUGAACGCUGGCGGCAGGCUUAACACAUGCAAGUCGAGCGGGGUGAUGGUGCUUGCACUAUCACUUAGCGGCGGACGGGUGAGUAAUGCUUAGGAAUCUGCCUAUUAGUGGGGGACAACAUCUCGAAAGGGAUGCUAAUACCGCAUACGUCCUACGGGAGAAAGCAGGGGAUCACUUGUGACCUUGCGCUAAUAGAUGAGCCUAAGUCGGAUUAGCUAGUUGGUGGGGUAAAGGCCUACCAAGGCGACGAUCUGUAGCGGGUCUGAGAGGAUGAUCCGCCACACUGGGACUGAGACACGGCCCAGACGCCUACGGGAGGCAGCAGUGGGGAAUAUUGGACAAUGGGGGGAACCCUGAUCCAGCCAUGCCGCGUGUGUGAAGAAGGCCUUAUGGUUGUAAAGCACUUUAAGCGAGGAGGAGGCUCUCUUGGUUAAUACCCAAGAUGAGUGGACGUUACUCGCAGAAUAAGCACCGGCUAACUCUGUGCCAGCCGCCGCUGUAA
rnacentral:rRNA from 1 species